AGCUGCUUUGGAAUAUUUUUGUUUCCUGAAUCUUCCUGCAAUCUUGACCCACAGUGGUUCUGGGGGUACACAGACAGCACAGGUCUCUGAUGAGUGAAUAAAGGAUUUGAAGCUCAACUCACCCACGACCCUAUUUGGAGACAUGUAAGAUGAUCGCCCUCCUGAGAGCACCUGUCACUCCAGAAUGGGAUGAGACCUACCACUUUGGGCUUCUUCCAGGAGCAGAAAACCAAUUAUAAAUAUGAAACAGAUUUCACUACUGGAACCAAACUUCACAUCCAAAAACAACAAACUUCUCAACCAAGAGUAUCUGAAAUAUAAACAGCAAGACCGAGGAUGUAAGAGCAACCACUCCACACCCGACUCUCUGUUCUGCCUUAGGAGUUUGGUAUGCAGGGCCUUUUUCCAGAGAGACCUGCAUGACACCCUCCGAGAGGGGAAAAACUGCUUUUAAACACCAUCCUUAAUUUAUGGGUAAGAGCUGCUACUGUACCUGUGUGAAAGUCCCAUGAGAGUUUACUAAAUGUGUCUCUGCCAAUACCAAUGACCGAAAGAGACCUUCCAUUAACUUCUGAAUUAGCCAAAUGGGACAGACCUUAAUCUAAUAUGCGUUAUUUCAUUUUCUAGGUUACUUGUUUUAAAGGAAAUCAAGUAUACUCAUGGCUGUCGAAAGCUGUCCUGGGAGAUGUGCAUGGAAGGACUCUCUCUAAACAGAGCAGGCUUCUGAGGAAGCUGGGUGCAUGCCCGAGGGCCCAAUUUAGCUCAGUUGCCUUUUCUCGCAGUAGGCAAAGCAACCCUCCCUCCAAAGAGUCAGGAGAGAAAUUGCACAUUAAUGAAAAUAAUGAGUACUGGCUCUUGAGUGUUAGGAUGCAGGGGACAAGGCUGCCUUUUCCUGUGCUGCCAUCUCAGCUAAUACUUCCUUGCGAUCUACUGGAAAGUCCAUUCGUCAAAGUCACCCAUCUUUUCUUCAGGCCUGGUGUGAGCAGGACAAGGAACAAUCUGGGUAUAGUCAUAGGCAGGUUGGAAAGUGAUGGGCCAUGGCUAAGUGCUCUGAGCAGGCAGUGUGGCACAAUGGCGGGAAAACUCAACUCAGUACUGAGAACCGAGUUUCAUUCUGAGCGCAGCCAUUGAUUAGCCCCGUGGGGACAUAACUCCCUCUGUGUACCAGCACCUUCGGCUCUCUGCUGAGGGUAACAUUUUUAUCCUCCAUCUUUCCAGGAUUCUUAUAUUAAUAAAACUAGAUCAUAGUUUUGAGAAGCACAAAGUGCCUUAUAAUUUAAGUUCCUUACUGUGCAUUCAGUAUUGAGAUUGUUCCAAUGAGUUACUAAGAUCUCGUAGGGAUCAUGGCAAUUUCUUUCUGACUCUCUAGGAUUUUCAUGAAAGUACAAUUUGCUCAAUAGAGCUAGAUACAAGCAGCUCUCCCUCUUUUUAUAGCCAUUCCUCCCAACUGCCAACCCUAUUCAUGGGACUCAGGGAUGUGCCAAGGUUAGACGACGCAGACACGGGGUGCGAGGCAUAACGUCUGAAUCAGUUUUGGAAGGAGGCCAGAGCCUCAGCUUAGGAAAGUGAUUGGAGUGUCUUUCUGAGGACAAAGAAUUACUUAGGGAGUACAUCUUUCAAGAACAUGUUAUUGAAACUUGGAGAAAAGGAGUUUUAAAAUAUGAGAACACUAGUAUUAAAGGCACUCUAAACCAAUUACAGUGUAUUUACUUGGAUCUCAAUGGGGGGAUACCCUUUUCAUUAUUCACAAGCCUCAAGAACAUUAGACACACUUCACUGAAGACAAUAUCAUAUCCAAAUAUGAAGUAGGCUGCUGUUUGUCCAUUUCAUCCACUUUCUUGCUUUUACCUUCUUCACAAAGGCAGAAGAGCACUUCUGUGUUUUUAGAAUGCACAAUACACAAGAAGCAGGCAAUGUACUUUUGGAUAGUCAACACCCUUUGUCCUCAGAGAAAACAUACAGUGUUGUAUCCACCCCUCCCAGAAGUUCCCUAGAGAUGUUCUGUCUGUUUAGGAGCUUUGGAAGGGCACAUCUAGACACUGGAGCCUUAAACACUGCAAGGCUCAUUCUACAUGCCACAGAGAGAACUUCCUUAUGGGCAUGGAUGAAAGAUGGAAAUUAAAAAUGUAGAAGUUCAGAGGCAACACAUUCAGACAAAUCCAGGAUUUUAAAGAUCUUUGUUUCUGAGGAUCUGGCUUCUUUCCACUAAUAAAGACGUUCAGACUCUAUGCCCUGUAGCCAGAACCUGGUAGUCAGACAUAAUGGGAAAUGCCAUUCCUUCCUGGGAGUUAACUGUGGGUCUGAGAUGAAAUGAGGAGCCCACAGCACCUCGGUGUGUAUCUGCGUUGACGUAUAUAUCCAAAUCUGGUCCUUUUCCCAGUCCAGCCACAGGGGCCCAGUCUACAAGGGUUGCUGCUCUAAGCCCCGCUUUUCUUUAACUUGUCUGUUGUGAAAGACUCUCUCACACAUGAAAACGCCCUAGCAACAGGUCAGCCCCACAUAGUGUUUUCCUGCUGUGUGCUAGCUCCUAAUUUUACAUGUCAUGGUGCUACCCAGAUGUCCUUCAGUGCAGAUGCACAUGCUACCUAGACAUCUCUCAGGACAAAUGUACAUGCUUCCCUGAUAUCCUUCCCUGCAGGUACACAUGCUACCCUGACACCCUUUAGUGCAGGUGCCCCUGCUACCCUGACAUCCUUUAGUCUGGGUGCACAUGCUACCUGGACAUCUUUCCCUGCAGAUGCACAUGCUACCCUGACAUCCUUUAGUCUGGAUGCACAUGCUACCCUGACAUCUUUCCCUGCAGAUACACAUGCUACCCUGACAUCCUUCUCUGCAGAUGCAUAUGCUCCCAGUACAUCCUAUCCUGCAGAUUCACAUGCUACCCAGACAUUGAAAGGGCAAGUGCACAUGCUACCUAGAUAUCUUUCAGUGCAGAUGCAGGUUUCCCCUCAGCACUUGGCUUUACUUUCACACUAUGUCUCUUGAGCCCUCCUUCUAGAUUGGUUCCUGGAGAUGGAGUAGACUUCCAUACAGUCUUCCGCAGGAGGAAACUCAGUACUCCAGGUUUCCUCCCUGUCACUGACUGCCCCUCACUACAAUCCCAGAACAAGAGUUUUUCCAUUGAGGUCAAUGGAGAGUUAUUUUUACUGUGAACACUUUGUGACUUACAGCUAGGUACUUCACAAUUUGUAGCAAGGGAUCUUCCUCAUUCUUAGGCAGAAGUAUAACCACUAUGUACAGACUUUCCUAGUCAAGAUGACUUAGACAUAGUUAGAUUGAGUACGUAUUAGCUUUGUUACAAAAAAAACUGAUAAAGGAAAAUCUUGGGGUCCUGGAGAUUACUGAGGUUUUCUUGACCACAGUGAGCUUAAUUCAGGGUUAAUUCCUCGACAAUCAACAACCAAAGCCAUCUUCAUCCAGUAGCUUUAUCUUAUGAACUUGAAUGAAUUUCACAGACAACAGGAAGGAAAAUUUGGGAAAGAAGUUUAUUAGAAGCUUAUAGAUGAAAACAUAAAAAAUAAGAAGCAAGCAUAGCUGUCAUAUAGCAAGAUAAAAGCUGAAUAUUCCAUCUACGAUUUGGUGAUGCUUUCUUUUGGCUAGAGAAAGUCAAAACCUUGUAGUUGAGCUUGUAGUCCAGUUGACCCAUCCAUGAAGUCCUAAUGUGUCUCUUUAUUCCAAGUGUUUAAACUGAAGUUUAUACUACACCCUCAAAGACAUUGUUCAGGAAGCCUUGAGAAAGGUGAGAAAAAAGAAAGAAACUAGAGUCCUCAAAAAUUGUAGGAUUUCUGGCCUCUGACCAUGAAAGAACCAAGGACAAAGACAAGAAUUGAGGAUCUUCAUCCCUGAAACUUCUUGACCAGUUUCUAUCUCUUCUCAUCAGUUUUAGUUCAGUUGACAUAUACUGUUUAACCAGGUUGUGCACGGCUAUGCAUUGCUGACAUUGCUGUGCAUUGCUAUGCCAUUGGUGACAUAGUUACUAAAAUCAUGAACCUCAGAGCUUCCAAGCAAAAGAAGGGGACAGCUUCCUGGGGCAUGCACAAUCCUCUUAAAACCAAUCAAGGGAGGAACAAUCAUUUCCUUUCAUGAUCUUACUGUUAAACUUGAGAGGAGAGCCACAGGAAGAGGUAGACCAUUCCCCUUGAAGCUACAAAGCACACAAGGAGAAACUGCAGUCCAUCUGCCUCUGCCAUAGGAUAAACCAACUUAUUUGGGCUACUAUUAAAUGUUGAGAGUUUUAAGAGUAAGAUUCUUUUGAGUUAUCUUUAGUGUGGAACCUAUAAAAUAUGAACAACAUGGGGAAUGUCUGCCUCACGGGAGGAAUUAAUGCUAUGGAGGAUAAGCAGGUCAAGCUGGGUAAAGCAGUGCCUCAGACAAAGCAGCAAAGAAGUGUUGCAUCAUGUGUCAUGAUAUUUUACAAAAUGGUAGCAAAUACAGCUUGCCUGACGUCAUGGCAGGCACUAGAACUACACACACAUGACUCAGUACCCAUUGGUGCUGGUCGGUUGGCCAAGAAUGGGCAAUCACAUACUGGAUAGAUGCUAGGAAAAGAAUAAAAUCUGAGGAAAUAUUGAGAAAUUACAUGGAGAGUCCUACAGUAAGGCAGAAGAGAUGGCCAGGUAGGAAUAAUGAAGAGAGCAGUACUUCAAAGGUGAACUCAGAUCACUCAGAGGUUUAAAGGAGAGAAACAAUAAGAGUAGUUGGUUUCUGGGUUUGAGAGUCCCAUGAACAUUACUCUACUCUCUGGGCACAAUAGAGCUGGUGGGAAGGCUAGGCAGGUAGUUGGGAUCCCCACCUUUUGUGCUUCAAGAGUAGUACCCCAAGCACUACUGCAAUAUAAUGUAAUUGAUAACAGUGAGGAAGCUGGGCUCACAGGGCAUUCCUUCUCUCACGAAGAACGUUAGUAUAUUAUAAAUGCCUGCAAUCUCUGAACACAAACACCCAAGUGCAUGUUCAUCAGCAGCAGACUAGUAACAUUAUAUAAAAUGGAGAGAUAUUAAAAAUGUUUUUCCAACUGUCAAUUAGCACCUCUUGGCAACAUGGUUUGCCUUCUUUUUUAUUUGCUCUCAAAAUAGAUCCUGACACAUCCAUUAAGCUUCAAGGGAUGAGGUGCAGACAGCAGCAGCGUAGAGUUUUGUUAAUGAUUUUUACUUGCUGGAACAUUAAAAAAAUAUAAUCAUUAAAAAAUAAAACGUGCACCCAGCCCUUAGUCCUUGUGUUCUACCCUUUGUCAUGAUUAGAUGUGUCCCCAAAUGUUCAUGUGUUAGAAACCUAAUACUCCCUGUUUGUACCUGUGUGAUAUUUGAGGCCUUGGUUAGGUAAUUAGGAUUAGAUGCGAUCAUGACAGUAGAGGGCCCAUAAAGAAACUACUAGCAAAAGGCCCUCACGAAAUGAGGAAAGACUGGCUCAAUCCUCUUGGACAUCUAGGUCUAGAAGCCAAAAUAAAUG
rnacentral:sRNA from 1 species